GGCGUCGGAUAAACGAUGAAGUUGCCUGUGCUGGAGACAAAGAACGAGAAGGAUUUGAUCUGACGACUACUGGGGAUACUCUGUUCGAAUGUGAAUGUGGCUUCAAGUCGUGGAAUGGGAACCGAACAGCAUCACAUUAUCACAAAUG
rnacentral:sRNA from 1 species